rnacentral:rRNA from 1 species
UCCGUAGGUGGCUAGUCAAGUCUGCUGUUAAAGACCGAAGCUUAACUUCGGAAAGGCGGUGGAAACUGAAGAGCUAGAGUACAGAAGGGGUAGAGGGAAUUCCCAGUGUAGCGGUGAAAUGCGUAGAGAUUGGGAAGAACACCAGUGGCGAAGGCGCUCUACUGGGCUUGUACUGACACUGAGGGACGAAAGCUAGGGUAGCGAAAG